rnacentral:tRNA from 1 species
UUCCCAUGCCGGGAAUUGAACCCAGGCCUCCUGGUAUCCUAGCCACUAGACCACGUGGGA